rnacentral:rRNA from 1 species
CCUACGGGAGGCUGCAGUCGAGAAUCAUUCACAAUGGGGGAAACCCUGAUGGUGCGACGCCGCGUGGGGGAAUGAAGGUCUUCGGAUUGUAAACCCCUGUCAUGUGGGAGCAAAUUAAAAAGAUAGUACCACAAGAGGAUGAGACGGCUAACUCUGUGCCAGCAGCCGCGGUAAUACAGAGGUCUCAAGCUGUGUGCGGAAUCACUGGGCGUAAAGCGUGCGUAGGCUGUUUGGUAAGUCGUGUGUGAAAGGCGCGGGCUCAACCCGCGGACGGCACAUGAUACUGGGAGACUAGAGUAAGGGAGGGGGAACCGGAAUUCUCGGUGUAGCAGUGAAAUGCGUAGAUAUCGAGAGGAACACUCGUGGCGAAGGCGGGUUCCUGGACAUUAACUGACGCUGAGGCACGAAGGCCAGGGGAGCGAAAGGGAUUAGAUACCCUAGUAGUC